GCUGCCGGCUAGCUCAGUAGGUAGAGCGUGAGACUCUUAAUCCCAUGGUCGUGGGUUCGAGCCCCACGCUGAGCG